AUCUCUUCAUGGCCUUUGGCUAAGAUCAAGCUGGUAUCUGUUCUUAACAGCUUAAAAUCUGAUAUGUCCUCUAUUCAAGGACAAUAUAUUAAAUGUAUUUUUGAGCAAGGAGAUGUAAUAGGAGCUUGCUCCAACCAUUCCAUACAUCCUGUACUGCAGUACCUCCAGGGAUGGUGUACUCCAC
ensembl:snRNA U2 U2 spliceosomal RNA